UAUGCUACUGAGCGGUAGCCUGCCUCCUGGCCACUGUUGGUGGUCGGAGCCGAUGAUCCUUCUUUAUUUCGGUCUGUAGUGUGUGGUCCACAACACCAGUGACCACCAUACAUACGGCUCGGUGUCUCUCUCAUUCUAAGGCUUUCUAUAGGUGGGUCAAGCGUACUGCAAAGGCUUCCGAGGGUCUUCUGGAGUGGAGGUUGUUUUUUCAAGGGGGUCAAGAGUCUUUCCUGGCUGCUGGCUGGCUGGUGAGUGAGAGGAAAAGAACUCAUGGCGUCCGGAAUCUUAAAUUUGCUCGCUCCUGUGCGCCGCGCGGUGGUGUCGAGUGUCGUCAAAAGCGGGUCUGUGUGUGAAGGAGGGCUUUUCUUCGCUCGCUCUCUUGUCUCUUGGAGCGAGCAAAACUUUUCCCGCGAGAAGAGAGGUAUGGAUUGUUUUACGAUUCUUUUCACUGGCGAGAUUGUGAGAUCGCCGACACUCUGGAUUAAAAUUCUUGGCAGUGUCGUCCAAUCGUUGCCAUACAACCAGGCUUGAACAAAGAAUGUCCUGUGGAUUUUCUUUUGGAGAGAAUGUCCUUGUUUACAAAGUUUGGUGUCAUCGUCUCCGCGGCGACGUUGGGAUUUGGGCCAAAACGCGGCCGCGAAAGUCAAUCGGGCAUGUCAGACAGGAAUCUACAAAUUACUGUGUGCAAAUCUUUCGAGUUUAUCACGUUUUUUUACUCUCCCCGAGAUCACCGCGAA